GUCCAUCAGCAGAUGAAUGGAUAAGAAAGCUGUGGUACAUAUACACAAUGGAAUAUUACUCAGCUAUUGAAAAGAAUGCAUUUGAAUCAGUUCUAAUGAGGUGGAUGAAACUGGAGCCUAUUAUACAGAGUGAAGUAAGUCAGAAAGAAAAACACCAAUACAGUAUAUUAACACAUAUGUGGAAUUUAGAAAGAUGGUAACAAUGACCCUAUAUGCAAGACAGAAAAAGAGACAGAACAGAUUUUGGACUCUGUGGGAGAAGGCAAGAGUGGGAUGAUUUGAGAGAAUAGCAUUGAAACAUGUAUAUUAUCAUAUGUGAAACAGAUUGCCAGUCCAGGUUAGAUGCAUGAGACAGGGCAAUCAGGGCUGGUGCACUGGGAUGACCCUGAGGGAUGGGAUGGGGAGGGAGGUGGGAGGGAGGGUCAGGAUGGGGGACACAUGUACACCCAUGGUUGAUUCAUGUCAAUGUAUGGCAAAAAACCACUAUAAUAUUGUAAAAUAAUUAGCCUCCAAUUAAAAUUAAUUAAAAAUAUUAUAGGAAAGACUUAUAAAGAGCUAGUGAGGAAGUAUACACCAACGUCCAUACAUGGGUCUGAGAUAUUUGGGAAGAGUGACAAGUGCAUGUAAAACCUUGAAAAAAUUACCUCCUAAUAUCUAUCCUCUGACAAUGUGUUCACCUAAAAGAUUAUUUUUGAUCCUAAUAGGUAGAUGAGGUUUGUGCUAAUUCUGGCCAAAGUGAUUAAGCCAGAAUUAUUUUCUAGAAUUUCUUCCAAGUUUCCUUUAAAAGAAUCAGUAAGGUUUUUUGUUUGUUUCUUUCUUUCACCUUUUAAGAAGUCUUUCUUUGGCCUACGACUAGGAACUGAAGCCUGGAGUUUCACCGGCAGCAUUCUGGGAAUGGAAAGUGACUAUAGGAAUGGAAGGCAUGAAGUGGAUCCAAACAGACAGAGUUGCCACUUACCAGACGGUCACCAUCCUACACUGAACUGUACAACCUCCUUUUGCAUAACAGAGAAAGAAUUCCUUCUCCAAUAUUUUGGCCACCUGAUGUGA
rnacentral:lncRNA from 1 species